rnacentral:rRNA from 1 species
AGAGUUUGAUCCUGGCUCAGGACGAACGCUGGCGGCGUGCCUAACACAUGCAAGUCGAACGGGGUUAUUUCUUCGGAGAUAACUUAGUGGCGAACGGGUGAGUAACGCGUGAGAAACCUGCCUUUCAGUGGGGGACAACAGUUGGAAACGACUGCUAAUACCGCAUAAUGUUAUUUGAGGGCGUCCUCGGAUAACCAAAGAUUUAUUGCUGAAAGAUGGUCUCGCGUCUGAUUAGCUAGAUGGCGGGGUAACGGCCCACCAUGGCGACGAUCAGUAGCCGGUCUGAGAGGAUGAACGGCCACAUUGGGACUGAGAUACGGCCCAGACUCCUACGGGAGGCAGCAGUGGGGAAUAUUGGGCAAUGGGCGAAAGCCUGACCCAGCAACGCCGCGUGAAGGAAGAAGGCCUUUCGGGUUGUAAACUUCUUUUAGCAGGGACGAAAUUUGACGGUACCUGCAGAAAAAGCAACGGCUAACUACGUGCCAGCAGCCGCGGU